CUCACCAUGUUGAUGCAGUGGUGCUGAAAAGGACUCCAACGCUGACACCUGUCACAUUAAGCUCCCCGAGUCGAAAAUCGAGCGUCGCGGAGCACAUAAAGCCUGUUCUAAAAUCCUCAAAAGGUUCUACAGCUGCACCACCGAGAGCACCCUGACCAGUUGCAUCACUGCCUGGUAUGGCAACUUCCCGGCAUCUGUAGUGUGAACGGCCCAGUACAUCACUGGGGCCAAGCUUCCUGCCAUCCAGGACCUCAGAGGAAAGCCCAUAAAAUUGUCAGAGACUCCAGUCAACCAAGUUAUAGACUGUUUUCUUUGCUACCACACGGCAAGAGGUACCGGAGAGCCAAGUCUAGGACCAAGAGGCUCCUCAACAGCUUCUACCCCCAAGCCAUAAGAGCCACCGGACAAUUUACAUUGACCACCCCUCCCCUCCCUUUUGUACACUGCUGCUACUCACUGUUUAUUAUCUAUGCAUAGUCACUUCACCCCCACCUACAUGUACAAAUGAUUCAACUAACCUGUACCUCCACACACUGACUCGGUACUGGUGCCCCCUGUAUAUAACCUCAUUGAAAUUCUUAUUGUGUUACUUUUUUAUUAUAAUGUUUUAUUAUAGUCUACUUGGUAAAUAUUUUCUUAACUCUUCUUGAACUGCACUCUUGGUUAUGUGUUUGUAAGUAUGCAUUUCAAGGAAAAGUCUACACUUGUUGUUGUAUUCAGAGCAUGUGACAAAUAAAGUUCGAUUUGAAUCCACAAAUGUAAAACACUUUCCACAAAUGUCAAUUACCAAUCCACAAAUGUAAAUCGCCAAUCCACAAAUGUAAAUCACUUUUCACAAAUGUAAAUCACCAAUCCACAAAUGUAAAUCACCAAUCCACAAAUGUAAAUCACCAAUCCACCAAUUAAAUCACCAAUCCACAAAUGUAAAUCACCAAUCCACAAAUGUAAAUCACCAAUCCACCAAUGUAAAUCACCAAUCCACAAAUGUAAAUCACCAAUCCACAAAUGUAAAUCACUUUUCACAAAUGUAAAUCACCAAUCCACAAAUGUAAAUCGCUAUCCGCAAAUGCAAUUCACUAUCCACAAACAAACACCUUUUGAUUUGCAUUUUCAAAUUGAUAUAUUGCAUUAUUAAAAAAUUAUAACUGCAGAUAUGCGGGUCAUUUCCAAGGGCCUUAAGUAAAAUGACUGCCAUACAGAUUUGCACGUAGGAGAGAUAUGCGCAAACAUGACAGAUAUGGCAGACCUGCAACUCCAUAUUUGGAAGCGCUUAGGUCACCUGACUUUUGACAGGGAUUUGAGGACAAGAAAUAGACAAGAAGUUAUCACGCAUAGAAAGUGAUUUGUAUUCAUAGAAAAAAGGUUUCUACCCAUAGAAAGCGAUUUAUAUAAAUCGCUGGCAGCCUCUCGUUUGGUCAUGUUGAUGCCUGCCUUUCAACACUGCAGAAAUUAUAGUAUGGUAACCAUAAUAUGUUAACCAUAUGUGUAACCAACGUAAAUAAUCGAAACCCUAGCCCUAGAUUACUCCAUAUUUCUCCACACAAUGAGCAUUAAGAUAAAUAUUCCUGAGGGGGCUCUAACCGUUUUCCCAGGAGAGGCAUGCAAAAGGUAGAAGGAAGAUGUAGGGGAUAUGGGAUCAGACUUUGUAACAGUAUUUCUUCCACCCUUCUCCUCACUCCAACCUUGGCUUGAAUCAGGGAUUCUCUGCACACAUUGACAACAGUCACCCUUGAAGCAUUGUUACCCAUCGCUCCACAAAAGCCACAGCCCUUGCAGUGCAAGGGAAACAACUACUUCAAGGGCUUAGAGAUUGUGAUGUCACCGAUUUAAACGCUAUUAGCGGUUAGCAGUGAUCCAGGUAAACAACACCAUCAAUGGGACAACGUUUUUUCUACGACUACAAAUUGCUUUCUAUGCGUGAGAACUUUUUUGUCUUUAUGGCAGUCAUUUUACUUAAGGCCCUUGGAAAUUACCUGCAUAUCUGCAGUUAUAUUUUUUUAAUAUCGAUUUACAACUACAAAUCAAAAGGUGUUUGUUUGUGGAUAGUGAAUUGCAUUUGUGGAAAGUGACUUACAUGUGUGGAUUGGUGAUUUACGUGUGUGGAAAGUGAUUUACCUUUGUGCAUUGGUGAUUUACAAUUGUGAAUACAUUUAACAUGAUACUGAUCCCACGUUCUCCCUACAGCUGCAGCAGCAAAUGAAGUGCAUUUAUUAAAUCAGUUCCUUGUUGUUAAAUGACACCACAGCUUUCCAAGGCAUAAAUAUGAAUAAUAAUA